UACGUAGGGGGCAAGCGUUGUCCGGAAUCAUUGGGCGUAAAGAGCUCGUAGGCGGUCUGUCGCGUCGGCUGUGAAAACCCGGAGCUCAACUCCGGGCCUGCAGUCGAUACGGGCAGACUGGAGUACUGCAGGGGAGACUGGAAUUCCUGGUGUAGCGGUGAAAUGCGCAGAUAUCAGGAGGAACACCGGUGGCGAAGGCGGGUCUCUGGGCAGUUACUGACGCUGAGGAGCGAAAGCGUGGGGAGCGAACGGG
rnacentral:rRNA from 1 species